rnacentral:rRNA from 1 species
CAGUCGCCACGGUAAUACGAAGUGGGCUAGCGUUGCUCGGAAUCACUGGGCGUAAAGGGUGCGUAGGCGGGUCUUUAAGUCAGGGGUGAAAUCCUGGAGCUCAACUCCAGAACUGCCUUUGAUACUGAAGAUCUUGAGUUCGGGAGAGGUGAGUGGAACUGCGAGUGUAGAGGUGAAAUUCGUAGAUAUUCGCAAGAACACCAGCGGCGAAGGCGGCUUACUGGCUCGAAACUGACGCUGAGGCGCGAAAGCGUGGGGAGCAAACAGGAUUAGAUACCCCCGUAGUCCCUGUCUCUUAUAC